rnacentral:misc_RNA from 1 species
CAAGAAGUUGCGAAAGGCUGCCUACAACCAUUAGUGAACCUUAUCCUAUCAGCGUUGCUUCGGCGGGCUAGCCUCGGGUUACCCCCUCGGGCGGCCCUGGGCGCGGCUGCCUCGGCCGCGCCCGCCGGAGGUCACCGAAACUCUUUAUAUUAUGCUAGCCUCUCUGAGUCUUACUUACUGCAAUAAGUCA